CAAGUCGAGGGGAAACGAUAUUGGAAGCUUGCUUCCGAUAGGCGUCGACCGGCGCACGGGUGAGUAACGCGUAUGCAACCUGCCCUUCACUGGGGGAUAACCGGGAGAAAUUCCGACUAAUACCGCAUAUGAUGUCUGAACGAAUGUUCGGGUUUUGAAAGAUUUAUCGGUGAAGGAUGGGCAUGCGUGAUAUUAGGUAGUUGGCGGGGUAACGGCCCACCAAGCCGACGAUAUCUAGGGGUUCUGAGAGGAAGGUCCCCACACUGGUACUGAGACACGGACCAGACUCC
rnacentral:rRNA from 1 species